rnacentral:rRNA from 2 species
UUUGGUUAAGUUAGAAAGGGCGCACGGUGGAUGCCUUGACACUAGGAGUCGAUGAAGGACGGGACUAACGCCGAUAUGCUUCGGGGAGCUGUAAGUAAGCUUUGAUCCGAAGAUUUCCGAAUGGGGAAACCCACCAUACGUAAUGGUAUGGUAUCCUUAUCUGAAUACAUAGGGUAAGGAAGACAGACCCAGGGAACUGAAACAUCUAAGUACCUGGAGGAAGAGAAAGCAAAUGCGAUUUCCUGAGUAGCGGCGAGCGAAACGGAACAUAGCCCAAACCAAGAGGCUUGCCUCUUGGGGUUGUAGGACAUUCUAUACGGAGUUACAAAGGAACGAGGUAGACGAAGCGACCUGGAAAGGUCCGUCGUAGAGGGUAACAACCCCGUAGUCGAAACUUCGUUCUCUCUUGAAUGUAUCCUGAGUACGGCGGAACACGUGAAAUUCCGUCGGAAUCUGGGAGGACCAUCUCCCAAGGCUAAAUACUCCCUAGUGAUCGAUAGUGAACCAGUACCGUGAGGGAAAGGUGAAAAGCACCCCGGAAGGGGAGUGAAAGAGAUCCUGAAACCGUGUGCCUACAAAUAGUCAGAGCCCGUUAACGGGUGAUGGCGUGCCUUUUGUAGAAUGAACCGGCGAGUUACGAUCCCGUGCGAGGUUAAGCUGAAGAGGCGGAGCCGCAGCGAAAGCGAGUCUGAAUAGGGCGUUUAGUACGUGGUCGUAGACCCGAAACCAGGUGAUCUACCCAUGUCCAGGGUGAAGUUCAGGUAACACUGAAUGGAGGCCCGAACCCACGCACGUUGAAAAGUGCGGGGAUGAGGUGUGGGUAGCGGAGAAAUUCCAAUCGAACCUGGAGAUAGCUGGUUCUCCCCGAAAUAGCUUUAGGGCUAGCCUUAAGUGUAAGAGUCUUGGAGGUAGAGCACUGAUUGGACUAGGGGUCCUCAUCGGAUUACCGAAUUCAGUCAAACUCCGAAUGCCAAUGACUUAUCCUUAGGAGUCAGACUGCGAGUGAUAAGAUCCGUAGUCAAAAGGGAAACAGCCCAGACCGCCAGCUAAGGUCCCAAAGUGUGUAUUAAGUGGAAAAGGAUGUGGAGUUGCUUAGACAACUAGGAUGUUGGCUUAGAAGCAGCCACCAUUUAAAGAGUGCGUAAUAGCUCACUAGUCGAGUGACUCUGCGCCGAAAAUGUACCGGGGCUAAAUACACCACCGAAGCUGCGGAUUGAUACCAAUGGUAUCAGUGGUAGGGGAGCGUUCUAAGGACAGUGAAGUCAGACCGGAAGGACUGGUGGAGUGCUUAGAAGUGAGAAUGCCGGUAUGAGUAGCGAAAGACGGGUGAGAAUCCCGUCCACCGAAUGCCUAAGGUUUCCUGAGGAAGGCUCGUCCGCUCAGGGUUAGUCAGGACCUAAGCCGAGGCCGACAGGCGUAGGCGAUGGACAACAGGUUGAUAUUCCUGUACCACCUCUUUAUCGUUUGAGCAAUGGAGGGACGCAGAAGGAUAGAAGAAGCGUGCGAUUGGUUGUGCACGUCCAAGCAGUUAGGCUGAUAAGUAGGCAAAUCCGCUUAUCGUGAAGGCUGAGCUGUGAUGGGGAAGCUCCUUAUGGAGCGAAGUCUUUGAUUCCCCGCUGCCAAGAAAAGCUUCUAGCGAGAUAAAAGGUGCCUGUACCGCAAACCGACACAGGUAGGCGAGGAGAGAAUCCUAAGGUGUGCGAGAGAACUCUGGUUAAGGAACUCGGCAAAAUGACCCCGUAACUUCGGGAGAAGGGGUGCUUUCUUAACGGAAAGCCGCAGUGAAUAGGCCCAAGCGACUGUUUAGCAAAAACACAGCUCUCUGCGAAGCCGUAAGGCGAAGUAUAGGGGGUGACACCUGCCCGGUGCUGGAAGGUUAAGGAGAGGGGUUAGCGUAAGCGAAGCUCUGAACUGAAGCCCCAGUAAACGGCGGCCGUAACUAUAACGGUCCUAAGGUAGCGAAAUUCCUUGUCGGGUAAGUUCCGACCCGCACGAAAGGUGUAACGAUUUGGGCACUGUCUCAACCAGAGACUCGGUGAAAUUAUAGUACCUGUGAAGAUGCAGGUUACCCGCGACAGGACGGAAAGACCCCGUGGAGCUUUACUGUAGCCUGAUAUUGAAUUUUGGUACAGUUUGUACAGGAUAGGCGGGAGCCUUUGAAACCGGAGCGCUAGCUUCGGUGGAGGCGCUGGUGGGAUACCGCCCUGACUGUAUUGAAAUUCUAACCUACGGGUCUUAUCGACCCGGGAGACAGUGUCAGGUGGGCAGUUUGACUGGGGCGGUCGCCUCCUAAAGUGUAACGGAGGCGCCCAAAGGUUCCCUCAGAAUGGUUGGAAAUCAUUCGUAGAGUGCAAAGGCAUAAGGGAGCUUGACUGCGAGACCUACAAGUCGAGCAGGGACGAAAGUCGGGCUUAGUGAUCCGGUGGUUCCGCAUGGAAGGGCCAUCGCUCAACGGAUAAAAGCUACCCCGGGGAUAACAGGCUUAUCUCCCCCAAGAGUCCACAUCGACGGGGAGGUUUGGCACCUCGAUGUCGGCUCAUCGCAUCCUGGGGCUGUAGUCGGUCCCAAGGGUUGGGCUGUUCGCCCAUUAAAGCGGUACGCGAGCUGGGUUCAGAACGUCGUGAGACAGUUCGGUCCCUAUCCGUCGUGGGCGUAGGAAAUUUGAGAGGAGCUGUCCUUAGUACGAGAGGACCGGGAUGGACGCACCGCUGGUGUACCAGUUGUUCUGCCAAGGGCAUAGCUGGGUAGCUAUGUGCGGAAGGGAUAAGUGCUGAAAGCAUCUAAGCAUGAAGCCCCCCUCAAGAUGAGAUUUCCCAUAGCGUAAGCUAGUAAGAUCCCUGAAAGAUGAUCAGGUUGAUAGGUUCGAGGUGGAAGCAUGGUGACAUGUGGAGCUGACGAAUACUAAUAGAUCGAGGACUUAACAAUAUAA